rnacentral:rRNA from 1 species
UUGAACGCUGGCGGCAUGCCUUACACAUGCAAGUCGAACGGCAGCAUGAUCUAGCUUGCUAGAUUGAUGGCGAGUGGCGAACGGGUGAGUAAUACAUCGGAACGUGCCCUGUAGUGGGGGAUAACUAGUCGAAAGAUUAGCUAAUACCGCAUACGACCUGAGGGUGAAAGUGGGGGACCGCAAGGCCUCAUGCUAUAGGAGCGGCCGAUGUCUGAUUAGCUAGUUGGUGAGGUAAAGGCUCACCAAGGCGACGAUCAGUAGCUGGUCUGAGAGGACGAUCAGCCACACUGGGACUGAGACACGGCCCAGACUCCUACGGGAGGCAGCAGUGGGGAAUUUUGGACAAUGGGCGAAAGCCUGAUCCAGCAAUGCCGCGUGUGUGAAGAAGGCCUUCGGGUUGUAAAGCACUUUUGUCCGGAAAGAAAUGGCUCUGGUUAAUACCUGGGGUCGAUGACGGUACCGGAAGAAUAAGAACCGGCUAACUACGUG